CAAACAAUGAACAAUCCCACAUUCAACACGCAAUUAAAGAUAGUCUCGCCAAAGACACCAGGAACCAACAGCUCCAACAUGGUAUCUGUAUAAUUUUCUCACUGAUGUUAAUGCUGGAAGCUGGUGGGCCAUCGGCUUGCAAUGUAAUGCUCAAGACAAGAAUGAUUCGUGCAGAUGGAUGAAAGAAUGGGAUUACUGAACAUGUACACACUACACAAAACAUUACGUUUUCUACAUUUGCAGCGAUCUGCCUGCUUUUUACGUAACUAGACCAAUUAAGUUUUUAAAUCUCUCAAGAACAACUGCCAUACAUUAAUUACAAUAAUGAGAGGCUGGCAAAAAAAUAUUUUUCUGCACAAAUAUGAAGACCAAACCAGACGUCGGGUCGGCUGGGGAUGACGCGGCUCGUCACGGCCGUUCUCGUAGGUUCGAGAAGGGCACCAAAGGUAUUUUAGCAGCGACGCCAGCCUCCGCGGGAGUUCCGAGAGUUCUGAGAAUUCCAUGAGUGAAAGGAAGUUCGACAUCGGUGAAGAGGGUGAGAGACCCCCUCGAGAGUGGCGCGUCGUGGAGCGGCGGGAUCGAGAGAGUGCGACUGAGUGGCGCAGACUGUGUGUAUGGACAGGCGCGGGGUAAGGGGCGAAUCACUGUUGAGCAUAGCUCCAGUGAGGGGUGCGAACUGCGGAAGUUGACAGAUAUAUGUUUUAGUAUGUGUAAGGAUUCUUAACAUUUUGUUUAUUUCAUGAUGCUCAACAUUUUCAAAAGGGGAGAACAAAAAAAGUUUAAAGUAAUGUGUAAUAUAUAUAUAUAAAUAUAUAUAUAAAUUAGAUGCCAUAACUAUUUUUUGUAAUACACAAGAAUAUAUAAUUUUUUUUUUCAUUUUAAACUUAUUUAUGAUAGUUCCAAUUUUAGAAAUCGCAGAAACUGUAAAAUUGCAACCUGAAUUGUAUAUAUUCUACAGAAGUGUGUCCCAAAUUUUAAAAUGUUUUACUUG